GUUUGGUGUUUUUGAUUGCAGGGCAGGCAUUGUAUAGAGAGGAGCAGGGUUAGAGAUUGUCUGCUUGCUGUGCCGCUCCAUAGUAUAAUAUAGUAUAAUCUAGAUAGAGGUUUAUACCUUUUGGUGUAUUAUAAACCUUCUGUUGUAUAUAGUGUAUAGUUAUAGUCAUAGAUCCUGUUGUGGAUAUGGGUUUGACCAUGGAUGGAUUGGAGAGUAGGUAUAUAUAUAUAUGUGCAGAUCAGUUGUAUGCCUGUGAUGAUACAUGUGUUGUCCAGGUUAUAUUGUGACAGAUUAUGUGAUUGCUGCUCUUACAGGUAGUGUGUUGUAUGUAUUGAGAUAAUCCUGACAGGUCACUAUAGGAAAGGUGAUCAUUUUGUGCAUGCAUCAUGCCAAAAUUUUCAGAAUUUAAUAAUGAUUGAUAGGUAAUAGGGUUCUACGUGGUGGCUGGUGGCCUUAUGCCUACCCGCACCCUAGGACCGUCGCGACGGCCCGCCGGGAACGGGGCGGGGGUCGUGACAAGAAGGAAGUAUAUCAUUCCACUUAUGAUAGUUGAGCGGACACAACUGACCCCUACGCGCAACUGAUCCUAAGAAACUUGAUAAAAGGCUUCCAGCCCUCUUGAUGGGCUGCCCUAGUUCGUUGCAUUCGACGACCAUCUUCUCAUCCUCACG
rnacentral:lncRNA from 1 species